UCCCGUCAAUUCAUUUGAGUUUUACCGUUGCCGGCGUACUCCCCAGGCGGAGAACUUAACGCGUUUGCUGCGACACUGGCCGACUAUGUCAACCAACGUCUAGUUCUCAUCGUUUACGGCGUGGACUACCAGGGUAUCUAAUCCCUGUUUGCUACCCACGCUUUCGAGCCUCAGCGUCAAUAUUGGCCCAGAAGACUGCCUUCGCCAUUGGUGUUCCUCCACAUAUCUACGCAUUUCACCGCUACACGUGGAAUUCCGUCUUCCUCUACCAUAUUCUAGUUCCGCAGUUUCGAAUGCAAUUCCCAGGUUGAGCCCAGGGCUUUCACAUCCGACACACGAGACCGCCUACACUCGCUUUACGCCCAGUAAUUCCGAUUAACGCUUGCACCCUUCGUAUUACCGCGGCUGCUGGCACGAAGUUAGCCGGUGCUUAUUCUGCAGGUACCGUCAACACGCUCGGGUUAUUAACCCGGCGCUUUUCUUUCCUGCUUAAAGUGCUUUACAACCCUAGGGCCUUCUUCACACACGCGGCAUGGCUGGAUCAGGCUUCCGCCCAUUGUCCAAUAUUCCCCACUGCUGCCUCCCGUAGGAGUCCGGGCCGUGUCUCAGUCCCGGUGUGGCUGAUCAUCCUCUCAGACCAGCUACUGAUCGUUGCCUUGGUAGGCCGUUACCCCACCAACUAGCUAAUCAGACAUAGGCUCAUCCAUCAGCGCGAGGUCCGAAGAUCCCCCGCUUUGCUCCGUAGAGAUUAUGCGGUAUUAGUCCGAGUUUCCCCGGGUUAUCCCCCACUGUUGGGUAGAUUCCUAUGCGUUACUCACCCGUCCGCCGCUCGACGCCUCCCCGAAGGGAUCGUUUCCGCUCGACUUGCAUGUGUUAGGCCUGCCGCCAGCGUUCAAUCUGAGCCAUGAUCAAACUCU
rnacentral:rRNA from 1 species